GAUGAUAUCAAUUGACUACAUUAAUAAUGACAUUGCGUAUGAAGCAAACUGUCUGCUUAAUCAGAUGAACAGACCCGCGUCAGUUAUUCGUGACUUCACUAACUUUACGCCACGAGCAACACUUGAUUCUAUUAGAAAAAGCUUUUUUUAAAUGUCUCGCGUGACAUCUGGUAUAUUAACUGACAAAAUUGCUUUGAAGUGGCCACACCUUAAAGCUGACGUUUUCAGAAGAGCACCUUGUUUUAAGAUCUCAUUUUGUCCAAAAUUGCGUCCUAUGACAGAUAUAAUACUUAUUUCAUUAUUGCUCUGUGUAUGUGUGACCUUAAUCAUUUGAGGUUGUGUGUUGAUUUCACCUCUGAAUAUUUCCUCUUAUAGGUCCAUCAUCCUUGCAUGCGCUACACACUCAAAAGCAUUGAUAAAUGCUGAAUUUAAAAGAAUCACUACUGUCUUAUGUUCCUGCGUGUCACCUGGACCUCCAAUCCAAAAACCUGACGAAACUCUUCUAUCAGAAAGGAGGACAGCUAGCAAACAGACUUCAAACAAUGAAUGAUCAAAUGACAGAAGGCAUGAAUGAAGUCAGCAUCAGUGUGGUCAUUUGAAGACACCACUGUUGGGAUUUGUGCUCUCAAACAACAUGCUUCUUGUGAUAAAGAAGAGGAUCUUUGUAUAGUCCUGGAAGGCAUGAAGGUGUUGCAACAUCGUGCCAUGUUGUUUGAGCUGAUGUAUGCCUUAAACCUGAGCUAUCCUGAUCUCUGCUUUAUUUUUGAAGAAAUCCAAAAGAUUUUAAUGGAACUGCAUUAAGCGUAACUUUAACGAACAGUUUCUUUCAGUGAAAGGAUCAGAAAGACU